ACGUCAGGAGUGACGCGCGCGCGGGGUUGGUUAGCAGAGCCGGGACGCGAGCGGCGUAGUGCGGACCGGAUCGUCACAAUGGAGCCCUUUAUCUGCAGCAUUCCGCUGGAGCCCGGUCCCGGACCUCGCGCUGCCCCAGACCCGGGAUCCCUGCUCCUUCUCCCGACCCCAGCUCCCGUAUCCAUGCAUUUGUACCGAUUCAAAUCACUGCUGAAUCAUACUCUGCCUACGGAAGAUUAGUUUAAUUUGGCUGUGGGAUUUCUACCUUUACUGAAACAAUGAGGAAAAUAUUACUCCAUUGCAGUUAAGUUCAAACAGAUGGAUGACUAUUUUGUUUCGGGGGGUGGGGGAUCUGGACAUCUUGUAUUAGCUUGUGGAGGUUUUGGUAAGUUGACCCCAUGAACCUCCGCUAUGCCUUGGGGGGGGAGGGGGAGGGAGGGAGGGAUGUAGAUUGGCGGAUGUGUGGAAUAAGUGACAAGAGCUAGAGAUGAAAAGAGACAGAGCGUGUUCGAUAGGAGAGAUGUUGUUUGAAGCACUUUGACCAGUUUUACUGGGUGAAUAUCAAAAAAAAGAAGAAAACUGCAGAAGCUGGAUAUCUGAGAUAAACUAAAAAGGUGGGAAACCCGCUGUGGGUUUGGCAUUUUCUGUGGAGAAAGGAACAGAUUACAUUUCAAAUUGAAAGGUCUGAAUGGUUUUUCUCUUUCCUGCUGCCUGACAUAGAAUCUGAGUCAUACAGCAUGGAAACAUGCCCUUUGACCUAACUUGCCCACGCGGACCAACAUGCUCCAUCACCUGCCUGCGUUUGGCCCAUAUCCUUCUAAAUCUAUCCUAUCCUAUCCAUGUGCCCCUUCAAAUGUUGAAUGUUGCAACAGUACCGGGAGAAAACCAUGCAGUCGCAGGGAGAACAUGCAAACUCCUCACAGACAGCACCCAAUGUCAGGAUCGAACUCUGAUCUCUGGUGAUGUUCUAUCACAAAGUCUAAAUUUAGGCAUUGUAAUAACUGUACAAGAAAAAUAUUAAUAGAUUAAGCAUUCUAUUGCAGUUUUCAUAUCCGAAGUGCUUGGGAAGUUCAUGAAUCUCUGAAGUUCAUUCCUGGAUGAUUUUGGGCAAUAUAUCCAGCAAAAUAGGAAAGGAUGGACUGCAUUCCAACUCUUAUUUAACAACUCCAAAGACCUGGGUUCGAUCCUGACCUCGGGUAAUGUCUGUGUGGAGUUUGUACGUUCUCUCUGUGACCACGUGGGUUUUCUACAGGUGCACCGGUUUCUUCCCACAUUCAAUACGUACGGUUAAUUUACUUUGGUAAAUUGUCUCUAGUCUGAAGAAUACUGCUAGUGUAAGGGGUGAUUGCUGGUCGGCACUGGUUGAUGGGACAAAGAGCCUGUUUCCAUGCUGUGUCUAAAGUAUGUAUUAUCUGUAAUUCAAUUCUGUACCCGUAAAAAUAUAACCAUCUGUUUAUUUCAUCUGCAAAAAAAGUUGUUUAUGCACUAUUUGGAAAUUAAAUAAAGAUUUCAUCUGAAGCAAGAAAUUGCAGACGUCGAGAAUCUAGAGCAAAACACAAAUUGCUGGAGGCAGCAUCUAUGAAGAGAAUGGAUAGAUGUUUUGAGUUGGGACCAUUCUUUAGACUGAAGGGUCCUGACCCAAAACGUCGCCUGUCCAUUCCCUUCUGCAGAUGCUGAGUAACUCCAGCAGUUUGUGUUUUGCUCAAGUUACCAUCUGUUACUAUUUCCAUUCUUCCAAAUCUAGGAAUAGAUAACAAAGGACUUCAAUGUUAUAUCUUUGCAUCAAAAUGUUGUACCCAUUAUCCUUUAACUUUGCACGAUGGACAGCUUGAUUGUAUUCAUGUAUAGUUUUUUUUCUUGACUGGAUAGCACACAAACAAAAUCUUGCAUGAUCCUACACACUAGGGACAAGUUACAAUUUACAGAAGCCAAUUAACCUGCAAACCUGUACAUCCUUGGAGUGUGGGAGGAAACCCGAGCCCCCAGAGGAAAUCACGCGGUCAUAGAGAGAAUGUACAAACACUGUACUGACAGCGCCCAUAUUCUUUGAUCCUUGGUCUCUGGCACUGUAAGACAGCAACUCUACUGCUGUGCCACUGUGCUGUCCGCAGCUGAAGUGGGAGCAGGCUAAAUAGAAAGAUGGCUUAAUCUUUUCAAUGGGAAUUAACAGUGAAUUAAGGCUAUUUAAACUAUUUUUUAAUUUAGAAAAGAGACAGUAAUAUUUCAAGGUAGACAAAAAUGCUGGAGAAACUCAGCAGGCGAGGCAGCAUCUAUGGAGAGAUGGUAUAGGCGAUGUUUUGGGUUGAGACCCUUCUUCAGACUGAUUUUUCAGUCCGAUUUUUCCAACAUCUGUAGUUCAUUCUUAAGCGUAAUAUUUCAAGCCUCUGAUUUUUAUACUGGGUGUUCCCAAGGUGAGAAAAUGCAAAAAGCCAAACAAAUCACAUUGUAAAUGACAAAUGUAAUACAUUUGGCUUUUAAAAGCUGACAGUCCUAAGAGGAAUAGAAAUUUAAAGGCAGUCUCAAAAUGGAAGUAUCUCUUGCUUCUAGCUAAUCAAAUGUUUGUCUGGGAACCUUUUCAAAUGCAGUGGGAGUUUCUCCCUACUGACCAAUCUGCCAUAAAAUUCUAGCUCCUGACAAUGCUAUAAGUGCACUUAAAAACACAAUUAUGGAAACAUUCAGCAAAUCAGGCAGCAUCUGUUGCGAGACACAUUUAAUACAUCAACCUGCCUAUCAGUGCAAUUUAUUAGACUUGCCUCUGAUACUUUUCCAAAUUAACUUCAAUCUUUCCUCCUGUUAACAACAUCCAAGAGAAAUGUUCAUGUCAUCAGAGCUGAAAUAUGCCAUUCGGCCCAUCGAGUCCACUCUGCCAUUCAGUCAUGGCACAUCUAUCUUUCCCUCUCAACCCUGGCUUUGUCCCAUAACGUCUGACAUCCUUACUAAUCAAGAAUCUGUCUAUCUCUGCCUUAAAAAUACCCAAUGACUUGACCUCCACAGCCAUCUGUGGCAAUGAGUUCCACAGAUUCACCCGCCUCGGACCAAAGAAAUUCCACCUUUCUAAAGUCUACUUUCUAAAGGUGCGUCUUUUUAUUCUGAGGCUGUGGCCUCGGAUCAGAGAUUCUCCCAUUAGUGAAAAUAUCCUCUCCAAAUCCACUCUAUCCAUGCCAUUCACUAUUUGGUUGGUUUCAAUGAGGACCCCCUCAUGCUUCUAAACUCCAGCAAGUACAGGCCCAGUGUCGUCAAACGCUCAUCAUAUGUUAAUUGGUCCUUCAUGUUCACUUUCCAGAUUUCUCAAUUUGGUACAUUUUUAUUAAAUCUCCCUUUCUUCCCCUGCAAACAACUCGUGCCUAAUCAAUGGUUCCUCACCACAGUAAUUCUCCAUCUGGGAUUUUAUCAUUAAAUCUCCUCUGCACUGAUUCUAAUAAACACUUGCAUCCUUUUAGUGUGAUAACUGGAAUGUUAUACUAGAAUUGUUGUGUGUUAACUGAUGUUGGAAAGUUCUAACUUUUUUUCCAGUUCUACUGCUCUGCUUCAACAGACAAAGGCAAGUAUCUUGAGGUCUGAUCACAUUUCCAAUCUUGUCGCAGUACGAUCACAGGAUGGACUAGGACCUCUUUGGUUCCACCACACUUGCAUGUAUUCAACCUGCUGGUAGGCCGUUUCCUUCGAUCCUGACCUCUGGUGCAGUCUGCGGUGGAGUUUGCACGUUCUCCCUGCGGCCGUGGGUUUCCUCCCAACGUCCCAAAGACUUGCGGCUUUGUAGGUUAAUUGGACUUUUUAAAGAAACUGCCGAAGGGCUGUUUCUGUGCUGUGUCUCUAAACUAAAUUAAUCUAAACUCAUUAUGGAUGUGGUGAAAAUGGGGUAGGAGGGAGGAAUCAAUAUUUUUAUUUUUUUCUGCAUCUUUCCUGGCAGCUAGUGAUCUGGCACUUCCUUUAAUCCGGACAAAAUUAUGAGAGUGCACUUAGAAUCCCCCCUGAUCUUUCCCUCUCAACUCCAUACUCCUGUCUUCUCCUCAUAACCCUCGACACCCGUAUUAAUCAAGAAUCUAUCAAUCUCUUGCCUUUAAAAAAUAUGCAUUGACUUGGCCUCCACAGCCUUCUGCGAUAAUGAAUUCUGCAAAUACACUGCCGUCUGACUAAAGAAAUUCCUUCUUAUCUCCUUCCUAAAAGUUUGUCCUUUUAUUGUGAGUCUAUUGCCUCUGGUUCUAGACUCAACUGGUGGAAAUAUCUUCACAUUUUCCUUUUUUAAAAUUUUCUCUGCAUCUUGAUCCAAGUUUCUUUUAACAGACCCAAUUGAGUUUUAGCCUCCAUUUGUGCUUGGCAAAGAGGAUGUGUAAUCUACACAUGUCCUUGGAAAUGUUCUCUGAAUCUAGACCAUCUUGCCAACAUUGCUUCUGCACAAUUUUUGUCAAUAGACACUUUUCCCCACACAAACUAUAUUAAAAAAAACACAUUAAGCACAAUUUGGCUGUCCCAUUCCAAUUAAUAACUUAAGCCGACAAGAACAUUUGGUUUGCGAAAUGAACCAUAUUUUUGGUAAAAUUAGGGUUUUUUAAUUUUCUUGAGAAAAAAAGUUUGAAUCUGUAAGAAAUAAGGAUUUGUUUCUCUGUGGAAUAUUGGAAAUUUCCAACCAGGAAAAUUAAAUAUUUGAAGGGAAGUUCAAACUAGAAAGCUAGAAAAGCAAUGUAUUAAUACAUUGGGUUAAUAUUGUGUAAAUGACUUUCAUUUAUUUGACUUUACAAUAUGCAUUUUGUAAUGUUAACAUUUCAUGCCUUAGAGCAUAAAAUACUACGUAUAAUUUGUUUAUCUGCGUGGCAUUAUUCCAGUAUCAGUGUGUUGAACUCCAGCUUGUGACAACCCCUUGUGUAAGUGUGGAUGUUAACAGGUUCCUAUCUUGUUGUAUUUAUACAUUUGGAAUUGUGCCAGGUCAUAAUGAUGCAAGCUUCCAAGCUUAUUUUUAACAUAACACUACUGCUUUCUUUAGAUUUUUGCAAUAACUUGGAUUGUACGAUUUAUUAAAUAAAAGCCAUUGCACUUUUUCA